GAUGAACGCUGGCGGCGUGCCUAAUACAUGCAAGUCGAGCGAAUGGAUUAAGAGCUUGCUCUUAUGAAGUUAGCGGCGGACGGGUGAGUAACACGUGGGUAACCUGCCCAUAAGACUGGGAUAACUCCGGGAAACCGGGGCUAAUACCGGAUAACACUUUGAACCGCAUGGUUCGAAAUUGAAAGGCGGCUUCGGCUGUCACUUAUGGAUGGACCCGCGUCGCAUUAGCUAGUUGGUGAGGUAACGGCUCACCAAGGCAACGAUGCGUAGCCGAACUGAGAGGGCGAUCGGCCACACUGGGACUGAUACACGGCCAAGACUCCUACGGGAGGCAGCAGUAGGGAAUCUUCCGCAAUGGACGAAAGUCUGACGGAGCAACGCCGCGUGAGUGAUGAAGGCUUUCGGGUCGUAAAACUCUGUUGUUAGGGAAGAACAAGUGCUAGUUGAAUAAGCUGGCACCUUGACGGUACCUAACCAGAAAGCCACGGCUAACUACGUGCCAGCCGCCGCGGUAA
rnacentral:rRNA from 1 species